CGGGACGUAGCGUAGCCUGGUAGCGCGCGUGGUUCGGGUCCACGAGGUCGUGAGUUCAAUUCUCACCGUCCCGACCA
rnacentral:tRNA from 3 species